GGGUUGGAACUGGGCAGUCUUCCCGUGGGGAAUCCCGCUGCCUGGCUUCCCACCUUUGCCCUCCCAAUCGCGAGGGUUGGGGAGUUGAGGCUGGAGGGGGGAGGGAACGCAUUCCAGAUGGAGAGAGGAACGGGUGGAUGCAUAGGUCGCGCCAGGGCUUGGAUCUGUGGAGUUCCGAAGACAGGCUGGACUUCAGAGGGCCACGCCUCUCAAGUGUCCCCCACCCUCUCCCCCGCCCCGCUCCCCUAUGUCGGGCUAGGUAAAGGCACAGCCCCCCCCACACACACACACCCCACACACCUCCCUGUGCCUCAUUUCCAUCACCACACAGAUGGCCGGCACUUCGUCUCGCUCACGCCUGCUUCCGAGUGGACAGAGACUGUGACCUAGGACGGCGAUUUCCGCGGCGCCCGGUAAUUGCUCAGGACAUUAAUGAGGGUUUAGAAGAAGGUACAGGUCCUGCCCCCAGCGUUCUAGGUCGCUCGCCUUAGCCCUUCUCUUCUCUUUUCCCACUGCCAUUAAACCAUUUCCAUCCAGAACUGGUUUCGUGAUGCGAGAAUUUUAAUCGUCAUCAGAAAUCUUUUAAUGCUUGUGUGUCUCAAUAGUUUUUCUCUCCCAGGGGCAUAUGAGCAUGAACGUUCUAACUCCUCAAAUUCUGAUUCCAUCUCGCGAGCAUGAAAUAGAAAAUUUGUACCUUGAACGAGCAUCCCAGCUCAUCGGCGGUGCCCACCCUUUGAGACACACUAAAGAAGACUUCACUGCUCCUCUGAGCAGAGAAGGGAACCUGGGGAAAGGAGUCCGCCCACAACUCAAGUUCCUAGAACUGGGAGAAUGGCUUGGAAACUUGGUCUAAAAGACAGGAAAUAAGUAGUCUCAGGUUGUCUGACUCUGCUUCACUCCCAGGAAGUCCUGCACAUGCUCUCUCAGCCUAUCAUCAGUCUCUACACCGUAACGCCUAGAGAAGGCACUAAGAUACAAGGAGGGACAGUGUGUGUGGCAGCCAAGGUCAGGCAGGGCAUGACAGUUAAUUCAUUUUCUAUCUGACAGGAUUUAGAAGCACCUAAGGGACAAACCCCUGGGCCCCUUUGAAGGUAUUUUUAGAGAUAAGACCCACCUUGAAUGAGGGCAGCUCGGUCCCCAAAGACCAGUGUCCCUCAGAGAAUGAAAAGUUGAAGUGACCUGAGCACCACAUUGGCUCUUCCUGACUGCCGGUAGAGUGUGACUGCCUGCCACCAUGCCUCCUCUUUGAUGGCCUGUGUCUUCAAACUGUGACUCAAACCCUUUCUUUCGUAGCUUUUGUUUGUCAUGGCCGUGAGAAAACACCUGAAGAAAGUCAUUCAGAUGGGCAGCAGCGACUGUCCCACACUUAUUGGCCCAUCUUUCCCUCAUUCUUUCUGACCUAGGAGGCCACGAUGCUGGGUUUUUUGAUUACCUAGCCACUGAUGGCCUGAGCCACCAAAAGGGUUAGAUGUCCCUUCUGAGCAGGAGUCAGAUUUCCUGCCACCUGCCAGUACAGUGGGUCCUCUCCGAACUGAUAGAUGGGACCUGGCCAAUGCAAUUACUGCCCAUUGGAGGGUCCAUUGAGGCUGAGGUCAAGGGACGGGGAAGGGUGUCUGAAGAAGACAUCCAGGCCAGGUGGUUCAUCUUGGAGGUGAUCAUGCCAUGUCCUGUUGCAGCAUCCAGCCUCCCGAACCGUCCUUACAUGCCUGGUGGGUGUCCUCGACAGAGAAAUAAUAGUUAUAGUUAGCCUGCACUAGCCCUGUUCUCAAUACUUCAUAUACAUUCACUUAACUGUCACACCAACCCUAUGAAAUAGCAUUUACAUUAUCCCAUUUUUCAGGUGAGGAAGCUGCAAGAUGUUAAAUAAUGUGGUCAAGGUCUUCCAACUAGAGAGUACUAGAGCACUGAGUGGUUCUACCCAAAGGGUCAUUGGAUCUGUGCAGUCCUACUUUAGAAAUACUGGGAAAGUCCUACAAAGACAAACACCAUCAGGAGCCGUCUCCCCAGCCUGGGCAUUCUGGCUCUGGUGGUCAGAGAGGACCAGACAGGUGCUGUGAGAGGCGCAUCAAGUUCAUUUGAUACAGGCUGUCCCUUCAGUGAGCUUCUGCCGGAACACAGGUCCCCUAGCACCCUCUGUGUCUCUCAGGUAAAUGGUGGCCCUCCUGGGGAUUUGGCAUGGAGGUAGGAUAGCUGGAGGGUGGCGGGAGGCUCUGAGAACCAGGCUUUGACUCUGGACCAUGCAUGUCUCUUCCAACUGGGCCUCUUGGCUGACUUUGCACACACUGAGCCCGCAGCUUCCUGGAUCUCGUCUGGAGCCUUAACACUCCACGUGUCCAACACUCCCUUCCUGCCCCAGGGGGCUCCUCCUCCUGCUUUGCCUCUCAGCUCCUGGAGCCCUGCCACUGUCUAAGCAAGAAACCUGUAAGGCGGCUCCCUUCUCCUACAGCCGACCAGGCACCUGGGUGGUUGGUUCAACCACUGCAGCUGCUACAGCCAGGGGUGGUCUUGUAGCAGGUACUGUGGGCAGCCCACUCAUCGUAGUGUUAGCUCUCUUGUAAACACCACUUUCUUCUCCUUACAGCUUUUAUUUGCAAGUGGGGGAGCACAGAGAGGUGAAGUAAUCUGUCCAAGGUCACACUGAUAGCAAAUCGUAGAGCCACGCCUGGGCACGAAAUGACAGUCCACGUACCUAUCUACUACUUCAGCCACCUCUCUGGUCCCUGAUUGCUACCUCCACCUCGCCUCCCUUCAUCCUUUCAGUGUAUCCCCUCAGCAUCAUUAAUAAAACUCUUGACUUCAUUUGA